rnacentral:lncRNA from 1 species
GGUUGGCCUCUUUGUCUUUAGAUUGGGUAGAGUAUUCGGUGAGCGAUUCCGCAACGGCGAUGGCAUCGUCGAGCGUUUGAACGCCACGCCUAUCAAGCUCGGUCUUGGCCCAAUCCUUGAGGCCAUCUUGGAAGUAAAAGAGCGAAUCCUUGUCGGACAUGUCGCUUAUCUCCAACAUGAGGGUAGUAAACUCAUUGAUGUAGUCCCGCAUACUACCCGAUUGUUUGAGGCGACGUAAGCGCGCUCGUGCUUCCUUUUCCGCAUUGUUUGGGGCGAAUUGCUUUCGGAGUUCUUUAUUGAAGUCGGCCCAAGUGUCGAUGUUGCAGAUUCCCUUG